GGGGAAUUGGUGGAAGUGGAAGACACAACAGAUUUAAGUCCUGUUGGCGUAUGCCGUAUCGGUUCAAGUCCGAUAUUCCCCACCA
rnacentral:tRNA from 1 species